rnacentral:lncRNA from 1 species
AGCUCAUAACUGGGUUCCCUUUGUGUCCCAAGGCAAGUGUGAAAAGGAGGCCUUCACUGAUUAAUGAGAUCAGCUCAAACCAGAUUAAAAAUGAAAAUUGGCUUUGCGGACUCCAAACCUGCAAAUCCACUCCACGUGAAAAGAAGGGAUUACUUUUAAGGCAUCCUGGGCGAUCGCUGUGGGAACCAAGAGCGCACAGCCAAAGGCAUUGAUCUGUUAACAGCCUCCUGGUGACCCCUUUCACAGCAGCCUGGACAGAGGACAGCCGGCCAGCUGUGAGGGAAAUGGCCUGACCGGCGUCCUGAGGGCUGCAGGAUUUGAGAGGGAGAGCCAAAGAGCCUUUGUUAAGACUUGCUCUUCCUUUGUCACGUUCGUAUUUCAGAUAAAUAUUAAGGCAGAAAAUUAGAAGCCAAUAAAUGCCAAUUUCCGUCUCUGCAGUUCCAUAUUAGAAUGUGCUAGAAACUCUUCUCCCUCAGGCAGAGCUGAAGACUGGCUCUUCACUAUUAAAGGAGAUCAUGCUCAGCUUUCCUGAGGCAAUGAUCAAAAAAUGGAUCAGAAAUCAAGAACCAUUGGACUUUGUACUGGACAGCACGGAAAACAAACCCACAUCCAUAAAAAGUGUAUGGAAAACACCUGGCCUCUUUACAUCCUUGCAAGGCUUACUGCCAACCUAUUUGGUUGACUGCCACGAAAGGUGUUAACUCUUAAGGGCUGGUGGAGACGCACUAGAUGUCAGUUAAUUAACGCUCCCUCGAGGUGAGCAGAAGUGCUCUCUUAGGCUGGAAAGAAUCUCAUUUUCUUCCAAGACUGCGGCUUGGGACUGACACUUCAAAAUUGUCAACAGUAAUUUGGGGGAUGGGAAUGUGUCUCUUUAGUUAUUUUAAUCAGCAGUAUUUGGUGCAGAACUCUGCCUAAGCUUCUGUGGGAAGAUAACCAUCGUGUCCGCCCUGGAUCAGGUUAGGGGAGAAGUUAGGCCCAGCAGAGAUCACAUUGUCAGGGAAACAGGUAAGCCCAUAACAAGUCAUAUUACAUUAGUGCUGUGCAUGUAGAGGGUGAGAAUGAUUAAAGGAUAGCCAUCUUUUGCAUUUUAGAUAAGGUCUUUCAGGAUGAGGACAUUGCAAAAUAGUGUAUUGGAGAAAGUGGUGGAUGAAAAUGAAGAACAGAGAGGGGCCAGCCAGUAAAUCCUGCACAGGGACUGGUCAGAAAAUUGAAUACAGUAAGAACACUGAAGAUGCCUGUGGUUUCAUUAACAAGAAAUAAAGAGAAAAUUAUAGUAUUUCA